CCCGCCCGUGUGUGUACUGUUACAUCCAUAGCAGUUGAUUUCGUUACUGUGGUACAUACUGCCUCGCAAUCCACAACCACUCCCAGUCGUCUGCACAUUUACUGAUGUGACAGACAUUGGACAUAUAUUCUGCUGUCCAUCCAGUUACAUCCUCAAGGGCCUUGUGUUGGGACCUUGGGCAAAUUGAAUUGGUCCCAUCCUUCGUUAGCCUAAGUAUCUCUCUCCCUUGUCGCUUGGAACGGCCCCAGGGUCACAACAACGCCGAUCUAAGACACUUGGAUGCCUCAGGAAUUUAGCACCUGGUCGCGGUCGCGGCUCAGCGUCCUCGGAUCCAGCGUAUUUAUUCUAGUAAGCCCCGGACAGAUUGGUUUUCUUCCUAUCGUCCCUUUUUAUCUCACCAACGGUGCUCGGUCACCUGCCGCUUUAUAAGCUAGAACAGAAUCACAGACUAUCUUAGAAUUAAACUCUCCAUCAUUCCGGUUGCUGCCCUGCGUAAACCCCUUUGCCACACUCUGGGCACCCAGCAAGAGCAGUUCGAAGUGCAAAACGUUAAGGAGGGUCAGAACACAGCCUUGAACCCUUCCAACCACGCCGCCAGCCUCUUUGUCACUCCCCGCAGCAAUAGUAACAAUCGGUCGCUUCGUCGCCUAUCUCCCACCACUGCAUCGUGCAACACUCACAGCAACUCUGCCUCGUCAUCGUCCCCUAAUUGAAACCGGCCCUGGCUCGGUAUCACCUUUUUUUGAUUGGUGUGGCGGCGGACCUGGCGGAGGCCUGGUUGGCACGAAAAUCUUAACCACGGCAAAUCUGAAACCUCUCUCUGUUGAUUCGCUUGGCGCUGGAAACCAGCCCCAAACGUAUC
rnacentral:sRNA from 1 species